CCCAGGAGUGGCUGGGUAUAAGAAAAGUCUUAUUUUCCUUGUCUUUUUGUUCAGGAAUGGCCAUGUGACCUAAUUCCAGCCAGAGACACAUGAGGGGAAAUCAUCUGAGUAAUUUUGGAGAAACUUGCCUCUCCUCCAAGAAAGAUCUGCAGAAAGGCAUAUUCUCCCUCCUUCCUCUGCAGCAUUGCCACGUCUGGUAUAUUUCCAGAACUUCUGUAGCCAUCUUGCUACCAGCAUGAGGAUGAAGCCAACAUUAAAAGUGGGAGAAAGGAAAGUUGAGGAGCACUUAUUUAUUCAACAUGAUGAUCAAAAAUUCAAAAUAAGUAAACGAUGUGACCUACCAAAAAUGAUUUUGAUAGUGGACUAUGGAAUUCUAACCAUAUCUGAGAUGCCUCAGUUUGAAGACAGUGGCUGAGCCUGGCAAUGAUGGGACCUGGGUCAAGAAGGAUCACCAGGAUGGAGACCUCUUGCAUCAUUCCAGCAAGAUAACUCCACAAGAAGCAGAAGCUCUCGCCUCCCUGGAUGGGGGAAUCUGGUUCAUCCCCAAAUCCUCCCAGGA
rnacentral:lncRNA from 1 species